rnacentral:rRNA from 1 species
AUUGAACGCUAGCGGCAUGCCUUACACAUGCAAGUCGAACGGCGUGGCGAACGCGUGCGUAAUGUAUCGGACCGUGCCCAGUCGCGGGGGAUAACUACGCGUACGCGUAGCUAAUACUGCAUCCUCUUGGAGCCGCCGAUAUCGGAUUAGCUAGUGGGGGGGGUAACGGCUCACCAAGGCGACGAUCAGUAGCUGGUUUGAGAGGACGACCAGCCACACUGGGACUGAGACACGGCCCAGACUCCUACGGGAGGCAGCAGUGGGGAAUUUUGGACAAUGGGGGAAACCCUGAUGCAGCCAUCCCGCGUGUACGAUGAAGGCCUUCGGGUUGUAAAGCACUUUUGGCAGGAAAGCGGUACCUGCAGAAUAAGCACCGGCUAACUACGUGCCAGCAGCCGCGGUAAUAC